GGAGUGCAGAGAAAUUCCUGGCGGGCGGGGGGAGGAGGAGGAGGGCGGCACGGAGCCACGGCCGCACGCCCCUGCCAGGGACCCUGCGUGCUGUGGCGGCGGCCGGCGCGGAGCCAGACCCCCGAGGGGCGCGGUGCGGGCGGGCUGAGGGCCACUCGCCGCCGCCUCGGGCUCUCGCAGCACCAGGAGCCGCACCGUCCCCGCCGCCGCUGGGACUCCCUCCCCGGGCUGAGAGGGGGAGAAUGACGGAGCUCCAGUCUGCCUUGCUACUGCGGAGACAACUAGCAGAGCUCAACAAAAAUCCAGUGGAAGGCUUUUCAGCGGGCUUAAUAGAUGACAAUGAUCUUUAUCGAUGGGAAGUCCUUAUUAUUGGUCCUCCAGAUACACUAUAUGAAGGUGGUGUUUUCAAGGCUCAUCUUACUUUUCCAAAAGACUAUCCGCUGAGGCCGCCAAAAAUGAAAUUCAUCACAGAAAUCUGGCAUCCGAAUGUUGACAAGAAUGGUGAUGUCUGCAUUUCAAUUCUUCAUGAGCCUGGAGAAGACAAAUAUGGCUAUGAAAAACCUGAGGAACGCUGGCUUCCCAUUCACACAGUGGAAACUAUAAUGAUUAGUGUUAUUUCUAUGCUGGCAGAUCCCAAUGGUGAUUCUCCUGCUAAUGUUGAUGCAGCGAAAGAAUGGAGAGAAGACAGAAAUGGAGAAUUUAAAAGAAAAGUUGCCCGCUGUGUAAGAAAAAGCCAAGAAACUGCUUUUGAGUGACACUUAUUCAGCAGCUAGUAGCUUCACUUUUUUCAGGGUGAUGACUUUGAAUUUAUGCAUCUUCUGUUUAGAGGUCUCCAAUUGAGAAACAUGGCACUGUUUUUUUUCCUGCACUCUACCCACCUAUUGCUGGACUUCUGUUGUUACAAGUUGGCAAACACUGGCUGGAACUGGGCUGCAAUAAAACAUGCCAGUUAUCAAUGCUGACAAGAGCCUAACAAGUGCCAACACAAGAUGAUUACGCAUUUUGAAAUCUAAUGAACUGCUUUAACCUUCAGGAAGAAUUGUAAAGAUGUGUACAUAGCACAACAUGAUCCGGAUAAUAUAUAUACUGUUCAUGUACAUCCACAAAUACACAUUGUACCAAAUAAUGCUGUCUGUAGUUAGGAAUAGAAUCGUGUAAAUUCUAAAGAUUUUAGCAGGUUUUUCUCUCCCUGUUCAUUAUUUCCUAUCAGUUUAAAAAAAAAAGCAACAAAAAAACA